UGUUCAUAGAUAACCAGCAGGGUCAAAUAAUAAUAAUCACAGUGGUUGUCGAGGGUGCAACAGGUCAGCACCUCAGGAGUACAUGUCAGUUGACUUUUCAUAGCCGAUCAUUAAGAGUAUCUCUACCACUCCUGCUGUCUCUAGAGAGUUGAAAACAGCAGGUCUGGGACAGGUAGCACAUCCAGUGAACAGGUCAGGGUUCCAUAUCCGCAGGCAGAACAGUUGAAACUGGAGCAGCAGCACGGCCGGGUGGACUGGGGACAGCAAGGAGUCAUCAGGCCAGGUAGUCCUGAGGCAUGGUCCUAGGGCUCAGGUCCUCCAAGAGUACAUAAGUACAUAAGUACAUAGUACAUGAGACAGAUGUUCAAAAUGUGAGUCACCAUUUGUUUUUUUAUACUCCAAAGCCAGUCAUUGUAAGAGGUAGGUAGGUCUACAUUCCAAAUCCAGUCAUUGUAAGAGGUAGGUGGGUCUACAUUCCAAAUCCAGUCAUUGUAAGAGGUAGGUAGGUCUACAUUCCAAAUCCAGUCAUUGUAAGAGGUAGGUGGGUCUACAUUCCAAAUCCAGUCAUUGUAAGAGGUAGGUAGGUCUACAUUCCAAAGCCAGACAUUGUAAGAGGUAGGUGGGUCUACAUUCCAAAUCCAGUGAUGUGAAAUGUAUGGGUUAAGCAGAGCAAAUUAAACUAUGAGUCUGCUUACAGAAAGUUAAUUAAAACUUUCAAUUUAUCUAGUCUCUUUUAGAAUCACCUGAAACAUACUUUUUUUCCUUAGGAGAAAAUAUUACAUAAACCUUGUUUCCUCCACAUUAUUAUUAAGAGUAAUGAAGUUAUUAAAUUAUAAAACAUUGAAAACUUAGUCUCAACUUGUUGAUAUAGGCUUACCAUCACAUCCUACUGUGGAAUGGGGAAUAUUCACAGCCAAUCUACUUUGUUUGGGAAUUACAACUAACUGUCUGUUUGAAUACACCCUCUGUCUCAGUGUGAUACACUGAUUUCACAUGACUGUGCUGUCACUUCCUGUGUGUCUGGGUGUAUGUGUGUGUCACCACUCAUCACUGCACUCGUCACAGUGGGCUGUUAGGUUAGGUGUCCUGGGCUAUUCUGUUCCCUGUCAAAAGAAUACACACACACAAAAGUCCAUCCCCCUGGUAUUCAAGGUGUUAAGACGAGAAUCACACCCCCCACACACUCACAACCAGACAGUCAUCUCAGUUGCUGAUUAAAGGGGCUGCCACAGUGAAGUGCAUCACCAACCUAUUUUGUUGUGCUGCUACCUUUGGGAGAUGUAUUGGAUUUGUACUGACACCUUUUCUACAUGUGUAGAGCUACAAGCAUCCCCUGAUCCUCUCCCUCCCAUCUUCCUUCAAUGUUCCCCAAUCUCUCUCUCUCUGUCUCUUCGCGCUCUCUCUCUCCGUCUCUCUGUCCAUAGAUCACGACCAGCAGCAGUCGGCUCACCAGCCUUAAUGCUGACUCCCUCACCCCGGCCUUAAUUAGCUGGUGUUUCAAUAUUUAAUGUCCCCUUCGGCCCCCGUGUCCCUGCGACUGGUUCCCAUUUGAAAGUGGCCAUAGGCGGUGGAUGUUAAACACAAGAGGAGAUUCAUUGUGAUGAAAAGACUGUAAGAUAGAGAGAUGAGAGAGACUGAGACAGAGAGAAACAGACAUGGGAGGUAGGGGAUCUCAAAAAAGUGAGAAAAAAUACCUCUCACUCUGCCAUAGUAACUUGCAGCCUGUAUUAUUCAAUAUUAAAAUCACACUCUG
ensembl:lncRNA